GUGUAUAUGUAUGUUAGGAAAAUUGGCUAGUCAAUGCAUUAUACGUUUUUUCCUUGUUAUACAUGCCAAUUACCCAACUUUUUUACAAGCAUUAUUGUAUAUUACAUAUAGAGUUUUGCUAAAAGUUAUAGUCUUUGACAAGCAAACAAAAACAAAUAAGUAAAAGUAGUGAUUGUGGGAUCACUUCACUAAAUCAGACAAAAAGCAAACCUUAUAAAUACCACACUUACAUAUUAAUGGGUCCUCUGUAUUUGACAUCUCUUACAUCUAUAAAUGUCCCUUAUUUUUACUUCACUGUAAGUUUGGACCCAAAUCUUGUCUUGUUGAAAAUUCUGCCAUUGAAAAUUUGAAAUCAAAAUCAAGUUAUAACUUUUCCCCUUCAUAGUCAUUUAGCUAUAAGAAAUGUGUAAAAAAAGAUGUCACAUCCGUCUCUUCGAAAUACAAGACAUCUUUAUCUAUUUCAAUCAUUUUCCACACUUUAUUGCAUGUGAAAAUAUCAUACUUUAGCUAAAGACCACAAAAACAUUCAAAUAAUUAUUCAACUUGUAGCCAGGUCAGUAUAUAUGGUCAACUCUAGAACAUAUUAUUUUUAAUUUCAUUUUAUUGACAAUCCUGGGAUAUCUAUACUAUACUAAAAGUUCUUAAACUAGAGUUUUUAGAGUGUCCACGUAGGCAUGGAUAUUCCAGCCACUCAUAAGUUAAGAAUGUGCCAUGUCAUCAGAUACAUUCUUGACUUGCUACUUGCCGAUUAGCCUCCGUCGACGAACAAAUUUUCUCGAUUCACCUUCUCCCACAAACUGUUACAUCUCUCACAAUGCCCAAUCGAAAUCAAUUCUGAAAACUGAAGAGAAUAUUAUGGCUUCUCAAUUACUUCACUGCUUGAUGCUCAUUAUAUAAGCUGUCCAGGAUAGUGAGUUAAGAUUCACCUCCUUAUCACAAGAAAGCCAAACCGAUAGCUGGUUCUGCCUUUCAGGAGAAUCGGCCAAACUCUCAGAAGAACAUCCAGUAGCUCCAGUAGCUGAGAACAGAAGCUGUGAUCUCAGCUCCAGGUAAAUUCAGAAAUCGUAUUAGGUUGUUCUGUUUCAUUCGAUUCUCUCGGCAAUAGAUGAAAUCGUCUGAAUAUGUUGAUGGAAACCCUAUGUUGCCGACCGAAUGACAUCCAUUGUUCAUGUAUCAAGUACUUUUAAUUUUCCCUUACACAAUCGUCAAUUGUACUUUCUUAUAUUCUAAACUUUAUUUUUUGAUGACAGCAACAGUAUGGUGCCAACACGUCACUCCAUAGCUUAUGAUGAUUACCUUCAGAUCAGUCUUUGUAAGUGAUUUUUUUUCAUUCAGCAGGAUGUGUGACAUGCUUUUCACAGAAACCUCUCACCCCCUUGCUGAAUUUAUCUUCUUUCUUGACAACCAUUGUCGACAAUGGAUUGACAUGGAGAGAAUAUACAUUAAGCUUUCUUGAUUGGAUCAGUGGUCGAGACGAUAGAGAGCCUUGCAUUGGAGACCACAAAGAGGCGUACCUAUAAAAUCUGUGUCUAUACAUUACUGAUUACUCCCUGGGCUCUUUGAAUAUUUCCUCCAUCCCUAAGUGUUGAUUAAGAGACAUACUUCUUGCUUCUCUUUGCUUAAUUAAUAACCAUUUCCAGCUUUUUGUAGAUAUCCAAAGGAAUCAGACAAAAUCAUGCUUGCGAAGCAGACUUCCUCAGGGUGAUUAAGUUGCUUAACUAGACAAUAAGAGUGGUGCUCGAGUAUAUGAAUGAUCCAAAGGAACAUGGAAAGAAGAGAGGAAAUAAUCUUCUUGCUUCUGUGCAAGUGAUUGGAAGGGAGUUUUGAGUACUCCUUAUGGAAGAACAUUGAUAGUCUCUGUCACUUCAGCUUUCACUGAACAUUGAUAAUCCAGGUUCGUUGGCUAAGGAUCCUGUCCAUUUUUUUACUCUAUUACAACGCUGUUACCGUAAUGCCUCCCAGGACAACUUGGUCUUACUUUUUUUACAGCCCUUUUGGGUCCACUUGGUUCUUACAAGUUAAAAUAUUUAGCAAUCGUCAAUAGCAGAGCUGAACAUUUGUUCGAAGUGAUCAACUCGAGAGAUGAUGUGCUUAGGACGUGGAUGAGACGGUGUAUGUAUCUCAGGUAUGUGGAAGCUAGAUUAGCGGAUAGGAUUCUCUAUGCAGAUGAGAUAUUGAAAUAUGGGUUUUGCUUGAAUGUGAUUAAGACUUCUUUAUGUCCUUUGGAAGUUUUGAAGAAUAUGCAGGAGGAGGCUGUGAGGGAUGAUGAUAUUGUCUUCAAGGGUCUACCAUCCACUGAGCCAUUCUAGGUGUUCAAUGGGAUUAGUAAAUACUGUAAGAAGAGGGUUACAACUCCUGGUAUCAUCUCUCUGGCCAAGGGUGUGAAAGCAUAGUUUGAACCUCAUCCUCCGAUUGUUACUCAUGCUUGAAUGAUCUAACGAGCAUAGAGAUUCACCAAAAAUACCAGAUCGCUUGAUUGUGUGUAGUGGUUAGUAAGCAUCAUAGGCCGCUACUGUUUACCCAAUGCAUCCAUGGCUAGCCACCUCUUCUUACUAAGAAGCGUCAGCCCCAAUAAAUGGAAUUGUAAGGUUAGCUUCUUUGUAAGUUUCUCUUCGUGAAUCCAAUCUGAGGAGCGUAGAUAUGGGGAAAAAUAUAGCUCCAGAUGCAGAGCUUCACUUUUAUAUAGGCAAAGACAGAUUUGUGAGAAUAACUCUUUACACCGAAAGAUUCUUCUGAUGGCUUGCACACGGGUUAAUGGCAUCAACAAGCAAGGAAACAUCACUAUGCUAGAUAAAAAUGGAGGGGAGAAACAUGUGGUGAAUCUUCUGCAGAGCAAAAUAAAAAACAGAACCAUCUUAAUGUGGAGCAUCUUUGCCUCACGUCUGUGUAUUCCGUUCGACGUUGGCUAGCAGUGGCGGAAAGUUUUGUUCUAUUACUUGGGUUUUAAGUUAUCAUUUGGCUGCUGGAACAUGAGUUAAAAGAGACAUUGUCAUCUUCUUAUAUCAAAUCCAUGAAAAGACUAUCAGGAUUUACUGUGUUAUGGGUAAUUGUUAUAGCUUUCAAGAAAAUUAUGAGAUAUUGUGUUCAAAUGCAUUUCAAAAUAAGUGAAGAGAUUCUAAGAAAA